UUGAAGAGUUGCCCUUUCCAGAAUGUUCCA
rnacentral:piRNA from 1 species